AUGGCCGAAUAUGAACAGCUCCUGUCUACAGCUCCCAGCGUGAGCAACGAAGAAGACGGUUAAAAUCCUGGAUAUGGAGUCCGAGAUAUGGAAGGCCAAUUGGCUGCCAAAGAAAUGGGAGAGACAACACGUGCGGUGGCUUCAAAGGAGGAGGGAGAGUUGAGUUUAAACUAAUGAAGUAAAGGCAGGGAUGGGAGACUGAAAGGAAGGAAGACGCUGACACUUCUUCAGUGUGAUUGUAUGCCAUACACUGUGCUGGGUGCUGUUAAUACAACAACGCUUCUGGCUAUGUACUGUUUAACCCCAUUAGAAAUAAAGCAACAGGAGUUCAGAGAAUUUAAGUAACUCGAUUUAGGUCACUCAGCAAUUAGCCAGGCCAGACAUAUACCCAGGCUGAAGGAUGGCCAAGCUCAUUAAGUCAGGCAGCUAGAAUUGAGACCAGUGGUGAAAUAGAAUGAGAGCAUUGAUAUGAACGUGGUUUAUACACUUUUAAGGGCUACGAAGAUCAUUCCAGAGGAAUGAAGGAACAAGGAGAGAAUUGUGUCAACAAAGACUGGCACAUGGCAGGAUUCCACUCACUUUCCACAAACUUUGAAGGAAGAAGUAGCUAAUUGAAUCUGAAGUUUCAUUCACUAGAAACUAAUAGAGAAUUUACAAUAAUUUAUCCUGGAUGGAAAGUAAGAUCCAUCAUGUACAUGUUAGACAAGAGAAGCAUUUGAUCCCUUAUCUUCCUAGUUAACAUUCAUCUUGAACACUGAUUAUGUGAUAGUCUUCCUAAAACAAAUAGCAAGGGGGAUGGGGUUGGGGAGCACACAGAUAACAAAAAAGUUUUGAUGAGCUUUAUGGAGACAGGAGAUAAUUUGUUGAUAUAAAAAUACACCUGUAAUCCCAGCACUUGGGGAGGCUGAGGCGGGCGGAUCACUUGAGGUCAGGAGUUUGAGACCAGCCUGGCCAACAUGGUAAAACCCUGUCUCUACUAAAAAUACAAAAAUUAGCUUGGCGUGGUAGUGUGUGCUUGUAGUCCCAGCUACUCGUGAGGCUGAAGCAGGUAAAUCGCUUGAACCAGUGAGGCAGAGGUUGCAGUGAGCUGAGAUCACACCACUGCACUCCAGCCUGGGCGACAGAGCGAGACUCUGUCUCAAAAAAAAAAAAAAAAGAGACGCUUUUGCAUGUACUUCCUUUCCACCACCAUCUGUCACCUAGGAAAACCUCUACAAUCACAAAGCUUAUCUGAAAAUCUGACUAUAUUCAGGCAAGAUUCAAACCAAGAGAAGUCAAACCUAGAGACACGCGGUUAUGAACUAUAAACUGUUCAUAAGGCCCUGGGGUUUUUCGGACCACUUGUGCCCUAACCAGCCUGUGGGCUCCCAUGUUCAUUAUCCUCCCAAGUGUUAAGGCACAAGGUAUCAGGCAUCAGGCAGUUUUUGUAUUAGGAAGACUAUCACAUAAUCAGUGUUAAAGAUCAAUGUUAACUAGGAAGAUAAGGGAUCAAAUGCUUCUCUUGUUUAACAUAUACACGAUGGAUCUUACUUUCCAUCCAGGAGAAGUUAUUGUAAAUUCUCUAUAUUAGUUUCUAGUGAAUGAAACUUCAGAUUCAAUUAGCUACUUCUUCCUUCGAAGUUUGUGGAAAGUGAGUGGAAUCCUGCCAUGUGCCAGACUUUGUUGACACAAUUCUCUCUUUGUUCCUGCAUUCCUUUGGAAUAAUCUUCAUAGUCCUUAAAAGUUUGUAAACCAUGUUCAUAUCAAUGCUCUCAUUCUAUUUCACCACUGAUCUCAAUUCAGGCAGUUUUUGUUGCACAAAACCUCAGAAACUAAAACAACGAACAUUAUUUGGCACAUGUCUGCAGAGCCCAGCACUGCUCUACAGUGGGCUUGACUGGACAGCUCUGCUGAUCUCGGCUGGGAGCACUGAGGCAUCUGGGGCUUGGCUAUCGCUUGGCCAGUCUAGGCCAGCCUUGGCUGCAGUGACUCAGCUCUGCUCCGGGUGUCUCUCACCCACCUCUGGAAUCAGCGGGCUACCUCAGUCAUGUCAUUCUCACGACGAUGGAAGCAGUGCAAGAGGAAAAGUGAAACAUGCAGGAGCUCUUGAGGCCUAGUCUCCAGACUGGCACACCAUCUUGUCUGCCUUAUUCCACUGACCAACAUAAACCACCAACUUGAGCCCAGAGUCUGGGUAUGAAAGAGCUGCACAGAUGCAUGGCAAUGGACAUGAAUAUAGUGAGGGUGAAGAUGGGGACCGUUACCGGCUCCAGUCACACCUAGUCUGCAAAAGACUUGGCUCACUGGUUGGGCCCAAGAGGUUCCCUGAGGACAAUGACUGUAUCUAUUUAUGUUAUUUCAUCUUUUCAAUCACUUUGCAAAACAAUAUCAUGACUCCAACUUAUAAAAGAGGAUAUCAAGUUUCCAAAACAUGAAGAAAUAAACUACUUAAAAUCAUCUGUCCCUUCACAUUGGAUAGCCCUUGAAAUUGAACUCCAGCACCAUUAUCAGUUGCUAAAGUUCCCGAACCAUUCCAGGGAGGGACCUUCUUAAUGGUCCAAAUCUCAGCCAGGCAUUAUUCUUGUGAUUUCAGGGAGUGCGCGGCUCUGGGCUGAGGCCAUUGAGACUUGUAUUUGAUGGAGAACCAGGCUUUAAGGAGAAGGAAACAGUAUUUUGAAUACAAGGCGCUGCUCUUAUCUUCUAUCAAUAGAUAAAGUUUUGGGAUAUGCACCUUCCACUAAGGCUCACAAAAGGAUUGGCAGCAUUUUGAAAGGGCAAAACAAGUUUUUCUUUCUUUUCCCUCUCUUUUAGGGUGAAGUAGUUGCAUUGAU
rnacentral:lncRNA from 1 species